rnacentral:rRNA from 1 species
UACGUAGGGGGCAAGCGUUGUCCGGAUUUAUUGGGCGUAAAGAGCGUGUAGGCGGCCAGGUAGGUCUGGUGUGAAAACUCGAGGCUUAACCUUGAGAUGUCAUCGGAAACCAUUUGGCUAGAGUCCGGAAGAGGAAAGUGGAAUUCCUGGUGUAGCGGUGAAAUGCGCAGAUAUCAGGAAGAACACCAAUGGCGAAAGCAGCUUUCUGGGACGGUACUGACGCUGGAGACGUGAAAGCGUGGGGAGCGAACAGG